rnacentral:rRNA from 1 species
UCCAGACUCCUACGGGAGGCAGCAGUGAGGAAUAUUGGUCAAUGGACGAGAGUCUGAACCAGCCAAGUAGCGUGAAGGAUGACUGCCCUAUGGGUUGUAAACUUCUUUUAUAUGGGAAUAAAACAGGGUAUGCAUACCCUCUUGUAUGUACCAUAUGAAUAAGGAUCGGCUAACUCCGUGCCAGCAGCCGCGGUAAUACGGAGGAUCCGAGCGUUAUCCGGAUUUAUUGGGUUUAAAGGGUGCGUAGGCGGACAGUCAAGUCAGCGGUAAAAAUGCGGUGCUCAACGCCGUACAGCCGUUGAAACUGGCAGUCUUGAGUGGGCGAGAAGUAUGCGGAAUGCGUGGUGUAGCGGUGAAAUGCAUAGAUAUCACGCAGAACUCCGAUUGCGAAGGCAGCAUACCGGCGCCCUACUGACGCUGAGGCACGAAAGCGUGGGUAUCGAACAGGAUUAGAUACCCUGGUA